UUCAUUUGCAAGUAUAUAAAAAAUAGUCACGUGUCAAUAGAAAGGUUACGAUAUGUAUCAAAUCAUUUAAUUUAUUUAAAAAAUUUACUUAAAAUACUUAGAGAAAUAAUUAUUCACAUUUGACAUGAAUAAUAGGAUUGUAAUACAAACAGCUCUAACUUUACGGCCCUGACGAACUUUUGUCGUCCUGGGUAUUGCUCCAACAAACACAAGCUCUCAAAAAAAACAAAAGAAAAAACCAAAAAACCAAAAAAAUAAAAAAAUAUUAGUAUAACCUAUACUAAUAUUACACAUAUUUCGUAUAUUGACGUAGGAAAAGAGGCUGUUCAGAAUGUCAAAUACCAAUUACAAUUUGCACAUAGCCAUCACGUUCUCGUAUUAUCGCAAAAUAGACAAACGACUAAUAUAACAGAAACAACACUGAAUANUACUGUUUAA